rnacentral:rRNA from 1 species
AUCAACGUUCACUCUUGUGCUUUAAAGUUCUAUGGGUUUUCAUCUGAUCUUGGAAGCUAAGCAAGGUCGGGCCUGGUUAGUACUUGGAUGGGAGACCACCUAGGAAGACCAGGUGCUGUAGGCG